CUUUUUGGCAGGCUGUGUGGGACACCGCAAGGUGUGCCGGUUCCUAUGUCCGGUUCGCUAACCCGCACAGUCUGCCUACCAAA
rnacentral:antisense_RNA from 1 species